UACGUAGGGGGCGAGCGUUGUCCGGAUUUAUUGGGCGUAAAGAGCGUGUAGGCGGCCAGGUAGGUCUGCUGUGAAAACUCGAGGCUCAACCUCGAGACGUCGGCGGAAACCAUCUGGCUAGAGUCCGGAAGAGGAGAGUGGAAUUCCUGGUGUAGCGGUGAAAUGCGCAGAUAUCAGGAAGAACACCCGUGGCGAAGGCGGCUCUCUGGGACGUGACUGACGCUGAGACGCGAAAGCGUGGGGAGCAAACAGG
rnacentral:rRNA from 1 species